CCAGUUCUCAUACAAUCACCAAAGUUAAGCACUGUCAAGCCUGGUCAGUACUUAGAUGGGUGACUCCUUGGGAAUACCAGGUGUUGUAAG